rnacentral:lncRNA from 1 species
UUUUGUGGUAUUUCUGGAUCCUCACCAAGGCAGUGAUGAUAUAUGCCUUCUCUCAAAGUAUGUAGUAUUUGUGGUAUGAGGCAUAGUGAUAUUGCCUUCUCUCUCACCCUACUCUAAUAAGGUUUUGAUAUCUGGAGCUCAUAGAUGGGAGACAGAUAAUACAUACUUACAAGAUAUUUAUUGCAUAGUCAAACCAUGGAUCCAG